GAAGUUCUUUGGCACCAACUCCAGGACACAGCUCCAAGAUCAGAGCUGCCAGGCCUCAGCACCCUGUCAAUCACACCGUGCAGAAACUGGAGUCCUCAGAUGACCUGAUCCUGACUGGCCACCAAGAACAGUUCAUCGGCCUUAUCGGGAGUGGAAGUCCAGGCUCCUGCGGGCGACAAUCCAUGUAAGUACCCAGCCACCUUUGCACAGUGUUUGCUUUGCAGAGCGAACCCCUGUCUGACCCGAAAUUGGAGAGUGAAUGGACAAACAGGUGCCUGGAGUAGAGCUGGGGACAUGAGGAGCCAGCCCAGCCCACUGACCGGCCAAGUCCUUGAUGCUGACUCUGACUAAUGACACUCGACUGUCUGGUGUGCAAUGCCAAGACCGAUGGUUUAAAGGAGGCAGCUCUGGAGGGUCACUUCACAUGGGGUAUUGCUAUGUGAACCCAAAGGGAACGGCAGUUCUUUGCUGUCAGUGGUGGGAUGCUGAUCAGCCAGGCCGGGUGGAGAGCUGCAGCUGGACUGUAAUCGGGGGCCAAGGCUGGGGGCAGGGCUGGAGCAGAGCUGGGGGUAGAGGGGGCUGGGUGGUGCUCCCCCUAACCUCCAUGGGGGCUGGCCUAGGGCCUGCUGCAGCCCCAAGCCUGGUCUCUGGUCAGACGAAUCCUGUCUCUGGGUGUUGGACACAUUGGUCUCCUGGACUCUGGGCUCAAGCCUUCGCCAAGUGAGAGAGGAGUUAUUGUUCUUGUGAGGUUCUGGGUGAGCCAACUGGCAGGUCCCCACCCCCGACUGCAUGGCCUUUUCCCCUGUGAGUGGGUGGUUUGAGCCCAGAACCACAAAGAUACUUUGGUGUCUUCACCCUGGCCAUAGGCGCCUAAGGCCCAGUUUUGGCUUCGUGAAACUCCCACCGAACCCAGUGUCUCCGGACUCACUGGGUAGCUACGUUUUCAGGGGGAAAGGGCCCCUCAGUUCAUACCUCGGCUCCGGAGUGAUGGAUAAACUGGGGGAAGAUGGACAUUUGGCCGCCUACGUCGCGGGCGGGACCUGGUCUGUAGCAGCGCUCGGAGGCCUCCCGCAGAUCAGAGCCCAUUCAGAAUCCAGCUGCUGGAGGAGGCCAUGGUCCCACCGCCAACCCCCUUGUAUCUUCUAGCUCAGUGGUUAGCGUGCUCUGGCUCUCCACUGUGGUUAAAUCAUGAUUGGAGCAGGGGGAUGGGCCCUGGGUCUCCCACCUCCCAGGUAGAUCCCCCAACCAGACGACUCGAAUCACUCCCAGUCUCUCUCUGGCCCAAUGACUGCUCCACUGAGGGGGAGGGUGGGGCUAGCCUGAGAUCAACCAGACGAGGGGGGCUCCUGCUAGAGUUUGGAGCUCUGACCAGUUGGGGGGGUUGCAAACCAUAUUUGCAUUCACUGGGCUUUGUGCUUUGUCAUUUGAAUCCCAGCCCCCCUGGUCUAUCACGUAUAAAACACGCUUUCUAGCUACGUGAGGUGCCUGUGCUUUGUGUUAGGGACAGAACAGUGGAUAGUUAUUCCCACCUCUGCUUUCUUUCCAGCCGUGAGUUUGAAGCGCGCAGCCUGGAUCUGAAACCGGGCUAAGUGAGAUCACCAACCCUCGCGCUAGAGGAGUCCACUGCCUCAGUCUUUUAUUUCUCUGGGGUCACUGCAGUGCAUCUGAGGUCCUUCCUUAAUACCAGGCAGCUUUGAAUUGCAGCGCGAGGGGGCCGCUCUCAGCCCUGGGUUUAAGAUGGAAACUCGAGAGCGGAUUGUUGGGACCCGCAGGGCCGCCAGGGGAACUUUCUGUAAUAUUGUUGGCAGUGACUCUGGGCUGGGGAGAGCUACUCCAUGGGUGCAGAACUCUUAAAAAGCUGCUCCUGGGGCAGAGCAGGAGACACCAGGUGCAUGUGUUGUUAGGAUAUAGAUAUUCAGGCCUGUCUGCAAAGGCCUAGACUCUAAGAAUUUAGGUGUAUUCUUAUCACUUGGCUAGUUCUAGAGGUAUAAAACAGAGAAUCAAAAUCACUGUCUGCUGGUGUAAGGGCCUUCUCUCACUGUCACAGUCUGAGGCCCUGUGCUUAGGCUAAGGCCUUUGGCUAAGCAGCAGAGGCAGCCAUAAGCUGGGAAGCGACCGGUCACAUUCUUACAGUUAAAAUUGGUUAGUUAAAUUUCAGUAAAAUGACAGGUUAAGGUUUAGCUAAGCAGAACUCAAGUUUUACUAUAUAGUCUGCAGUCAAUCAGGAAGUAAGGGUGAGCAUGGGAAUAGGCAAUGGGGGGUGGGGAAUUGGAAUCAUGUUUUGCUAAGGGGGGGAUGGGAACAGGGACACAGGCGUAAGGCUCUGUGGUCUCAGAGCUGGGAAGGGGGACACCGAGGAAGGAAACUGGAAUCAUGCUGGCUGGAAGUUCACCCCAAUAAACAUCGAAUUGUUUGCACCUUUGGACUUUGGGUAUUGUUGCUCUCUGUUCAUGCGAGAAGGACCAGGGAAGUAAGCGGGUGAAAAAAUAAGCCCCCUAACAUGUGUCACGUAAGGUAACUGUCUGGGUGGGAUGAAUGGCUGCAAUUCACCCAUUUCAACUGAGAGUCCGGAAAGACAAUGGGAACCCCAGGACUGAACAAGUAACACCUAACGAGGGGAAAGUCCGACAGGCAGAAGGUGUGAACCCAGCCUGGGUCUGCAGGACAAUGGACCGAGAGGUGACUGGAGGCUGGGAUAAAAGCUGGCCCUUGGAGACACCAGCUCAUGUGGGACUGGGAGACAGACAAGGACAGGGACAGAGUGAGGAAACCAAGAUGUUUUCUUCAGGAACAUGGCUGAAGGGAUCCCUGCCUUGGCCAGUCUGGACAACGUCUUAACCUUUGGUUCUCUGUGCUGACCUAAGGACUUCCCAGGGCUAUGUUGCAGUUGACUAAUAAACCCUACUUUAUUUGGAAAGGGCUGCCUGGUGUCACUGCAAAUACUUGCAGAGGUGCACUGGCCCCUGGAGAGCGGACAAGUCUCACAGCACAGGCUGGAGCCCAGGGGCUCAGCCUUGGGGCUGCUCAGGCCGGGUGGCCUCCCCUUAAGAAAGAGUGGGAGCCCUGGGGUGUCUGUCACAGUGAAGCAGUUCCUCCAAGGGGCUGUUUUAAAGCCAGGGCGUAACAUCCUGUGGGGCCAUGACACCCGUGCUCUCAUUCAGCGCUUCAUGAGGUAAGAUUCAAGUAUUGAGUUCACCUGGCAG